rnacentral:snoRNA from 1 species
AAAGCUCCUUGAGGCGUUGCAGCCCUUCGUGUGGAGGUGCUGUGUCAUAAGGAGCAAAGAGUGACGGUGGAUGUCUGCACUGGGACUCUGCAAUAAUAGAGCUCUCGGAGUGAAAACACCACCAACAAU